rnacentral:lncRNA from 1 species
ACGCCACCUCCUCACGCUUGGCUCCGGUGCGGUGACUUAUCCCCGAGGGGUUCUUGCUAUUUAUCCAGCUUCACAGGGCUGCACUUCCCAGAGGGCGCUGCUCGGCAGACACUCCGCGGUACGGGGCUCGGGCGGCCACCGGGCUCCCCCGCAGCUGCACCGCGCUCCGUGCAAGCGCUGCACGCGGCGGGAGCAGGCGCCUGGGACGUGCCAGGCCCCGCAGCGCGCUCCGGCAGCGCUCGCCCCGAACUUCCCGCUCAAGGGAGGCUGAGCUCCUCCGCCGUGCGAGGACACGCAGCAGCGGGCUCCGGGAGCCCCCGAAGGGACGUGGUGGGAGAGGGGCGCUACGGCCGCGCGGACCGAGCCGCACCGGGCGGGUUGAAGGUAGCGCAGCGCCAACGGGAGCCGUCGGGGAACACCCCGGAACGCGACUCCUCCCUCCCAGACCCAGCGGGGAUUCUGUUCGAGACGGCGAGAUUCCAGGGCAGGGCCGGGCAGCGGCGGCCCCGCAGCACCCUGCGCACCGGCUGCGCAGGGCCUUCCGCAGCGCGGAGCAGAGAGGCCCGGCCGGGGGCGGCUCCCAGCGGGCGGGGCGGGGGCGGGAGCUCGGCGGCGCGGGGCCGUUCCCUCCGCAGCGCUGCGGCCCGCCCCGCGCUGCGUUCCCGCCGCACGGCGGGCAGGCGGCUGGCGGCGGUCGCUGUGGCGCGGGGCCGCACCCCGGAUGAGGUCGGUUGUGGAGCGGGACCAGGUGAGCACCCGCGCGGGGCAUGGCCGGAGGUCGGCGGCUCCAGGUGCGUUUGGCCGCGGAGAGCGACGGUCGGGGCGGAGCAGAGCAGAGCCGCCUCGCCGGGCCGCGGAGAAGCGGCUUCGACUCUCCCCUCCCAGCCUCCCUCGGUGCGCUGGGCGUGGGGGGCUAGCGCUUCUCGCAGCCGCUGUCUCUGGGAACGGGGCCGAGCUCGUGGAGCGCCGCGUUCCCCGGCCGAAGUGGAGCGAAGCGGGGCGCGGGGAAGUAGCAGCCCGGCCGUGCAGCGGGACCAGCCCAGCCCAGGGAUCCGCCCGGCGCUGGGGCUUGCGGUAACUGCGUUCAACCGCAGGGCUGUGAUUUCAGGGAGACGAUAUACAUUAGAGGGAGAAUGUGCAGAGAGCCAGGAACAACUUGGACUGGGUCCUCGCAUAUUUCUGUGGUUAUUUUUGGAGUAUCGUCAUAUGGCAGGAGGUGGGCUCUGGAGGUAUCCUCGAACUCAGCAUUUUCUCCACAGACUGGUUACCCGGGAGAUCGUAUUAGACUACGCAGGUCCCCUCUUCUCUAUCAGCGCUUUCCGUAUAAAACACUCUUCCUACUGGUGCUUCUGCAGCAGUAUUGUUCUGCUCCGUGCCCAGCCAUGCGUUGCAGUGGGGACCCUUCUGCGGACAAACAAUGGUCGGGGUACGUGUGGUUGA